CCGUCUAUAUACGUAUAGCAUAUCAAUAAGCGGAGGAAAAGAAACUAACUAGGAUUCCCUCAGUAACGGCGAGUGAAGCGGGAAGAGCUCAAAUUUGAAAUCUUCAAGGUUUUACCUUGACGAAUUGUAGUUUAAAGAAGUGUUUUCUGUUAGAGUUUGAGUAGAAAAGUUCCUUGGAAAGGGACAUCAUAGAGGGUGAGAAUCCCGUAUUUGGAUCAUUACUUCUAGCUUUGUAAUACACUUUCAAAGAGUCGGAUUGUUUGGGAAUGCAGUCCAAAAUGGGUGGUAAAUUUCAUCUAAAGCUAAAUAUUGGCGAGAGACCGAUAGCGAACAAGUACCGUGAGGGAAAGAUGAAAAGAACUUUGAAAAGAGAGUUAAACAGUACGUGAAAUUGUCAAAAGGGAAGCGUUUGACACCAGUGUUGUUUUUCUCGAAAAUCAAUUACGAAUGGUUUGAUUUUGAGUAGUUAUGACCUUCAUCAGCUUUCUUCACUUUCUUUACGAGUCUUUCUUAAUGCACUUUUCGGUUAACAAGUCAACAUCAAUUUCUUUUGUUGUAAAAGAGUAUUAGGAAGGUGGCUUUCUUUUCGGAGAAAGUGUUUAUAGCCCUUAUCCUCUACAAUCGGAGAGAUUGAGGUCUGCAGCGUAGAUCCUUCGGGGUUAGAUACGUUUGUGCUAAGUUAUAGCUUUUCAUAGACAACUUGUUGACUAUGUUUAGUCUUGUAGCUUACUCGCUGACGCUAUUUUACCUACGCUUAGGAUGUUGACUGAUAUGUAGUCGUA
rnacentral:rRNA from 1 species